UCAGGCUAGGUCCUAGCUGCACCACUCAGGCUAGGUCCUAGCUGCACCACUCAGGCUAGGUCCUAGCUGCAGCACUCAGGCUAGGUCCAAGAUGCACCACUCAGGCUAGGUCCAAGAUGCGCCACUCAGGCUAGGUCCUAGCUGCGCCACACAGGCUAGGUCCUAGCUGCACCACACAGGCUAGGUCCUAGCUGCACCACUCAG